rnacentral:rRNA from 1 species
CCUACGGGGAGCAGCAGUGGGGAAUAUUGGACAAUGGGCGAAAGCCUGAUCCAGCCAUGCCGCGUGUGUGAAGAAGGCCUUCGGGUUGUAAAGCACUUUCAGUGGGGAAGAAAGCCUUGGGGCUAAUACCCUCGAGGAAGGACAUCACCCACAGAAGAAGCACCGGCUAACUCCGUGCCAGCAGCCGCGGUAAUACGGAGGGUGUGAGCGUUAAUCGGAAUUACUGGGCGUAAAGCGCGCGUAGGCGGUCUGAUAAGCCGGUUGUGAAAGCCCCGGGCUCAACCUGGGAACGGCAUCCGGAACUGUCAGGCUAGAGUGCAGGAGAGGAAGGUAGAAUUCCCGGUGUAGCGGUGAAAUGCGUAGAGAUCGGGAGGAAUACCAGUGGCGAAGGCGGCCUUCUGGACUGACACUGACGCUGAGGUGCGAAAGCGUGGGUAGCAAACAGGAUUAGAUACCCUAGUAGUC